rnacentral:rRNA from 1 species
UAUAGAGGGGGCAAGCGUUGUUCGGAAUUACUGGGCGUAAAGGGCGCGUAGGCGGCCUGCUAAGUCGAUCGUGAAAUCCCCGGGCUUAACCCGGGAACUGCGACCGAUACUGGUUGGCUUGAAUUCGGGAGAGGGAUGCGGAAUUCCAGGUGUAGCGGUGAAAUGCGUAGAUAUCGGGAAGAACACCCGUGGCGAAGGCGGUUCUCUGGGACGGUACUGACGCUGAGACGCGAAAACGUGGGGAGCGAACAGG